rnacentral:rRNA from 1 species
GACGAACGCUGGCGGCGUGCUUAACACAUGCAAGUCGAACGGAAAGGCCCUGCUUUUGUGGGGUGCUCGAGUGGCGAACGGGUGAGUAACACGUGAGUAACCUGCCCUUGACUUUGGGAUAACUUCAGGAAACUGGGGCUAAUACCGGAUAGGAGCUCCUGCUGCAUGGUGGGGGUUGGAAAGUUUCGGCGGUUGGGGAUGGACUCGCGGCUUAUGAGCUUGUUGGUGGGGUAGUGGCUUACCAAGGCUUUGACGGGUAGCCGGCAUGAGAGGGUGACCGGCCACAUUGGGACUGAGAUACGGACCAGAAUCCUACGGGAGGCAGCAGUGGGGAAUAUUGCACAGUGGGCGGAAGCGUGAUGCAGAAACGCCGCGUGCGGGAUGACGGCCUUCUGGUUGUAAACCGCUUUCGCCUGUGACGAAGCGUGAGUGACGGUAAUGAGUAAAGAAGCACCGGCUAACUACGUG